CCUACGGGUGGCUGCAGUGGGGAAUAUUGGACAAUGGGGGGAACCCUGAUCCAGCCAUGCCGCGUGUGUGAAGAAGGCCCUCGGGUUGUAAAGCACUUUCAGUGAGGAAGAACGCCUGGUGGUUAAUACCCAUCAGGAAAGACAUCACUCACAGAAGAAGCACCGGCUAACUCCGUGCCAGCAGCCGCGGUAAUACGGAGGGUGCGAGCGUUAAUCGGAAUUACUGGGCGUAAAGCGCGCGUAGGUGGCUUGAUAAGCCGGUUGUGAAAGCCCCGGGCUCAACCUGGGAACGGCAUCCGGAACUGUCAAGCUAGAGUGCAGGAGAGGAAGGUAGAAUUCCCGGUGUAGCGGUGAAAUGCGUAGAGAUCGGGAGGAAUACCAGUGGCGAAGGCGGCCUUCUGGACUGACACUGACACUGAGGUGCGAAAGCGUGGGUAGCAAACAGGAUUAGAUACCCCGGGUAGUC
rnacentral:rRNA from 1 species